GCUGAUAGCAGGAGCAGGCCGUACCCAUUAAUAACAAAAUUUAGUGUCUACAUCCGUGUCCGGCUCCUUCUAUGAGAGUGGGCCACACUCAGAACAUGUCUUUUGUAUCAAUCUCAGUAUCGGACUGAGGUUGAGGGAGGGCCGCGCCCUCUAAUAACAAAGCAGUGUCCAGUUCAGUAUAAGAGAGGGGUUCGCUCUAUACUCGUGUAAAUAAAUAUCAGUCUCGAGCCGAGGUGAUGGAGGGCCGCACCCUCUUGCAAUCUAAACUAGAG